rnacentral:rRNA from 1 species
GAUCCUGGCUCAGGAUGAACGCUGGCGGCGUGCUUAACACAUGCAAGUCGAACGAAGCACUUUAUUACAAUUUCUUCGGAAUGACGAUUUAGUGACUGAGUGGCGGACGGGUGAGUAACGCGUGGGUAACCUGCCUUAUACAGGGGGAUAACAGUUAGAAAUGACUGCUAAUACCGCAUAAGCGCACAGGAUUGCAUGAUCUGGUGUGAAAAACUCCGGUGGUAUAAGAUGGACCCGCGU